UACGAGGGGGGCGAGCGUUGUUCGGAAUUAUUGGGCGUAAAGGGUGCGUAGGCGGUUUGAUAAGUCUGAUGUGAAAUCUAUGGGCUCAACCCAUAGUCUGCAUUAGAAACUGUCGGGCUUGAGUAUGGGAGAGGUGAGUGGAAUUUCCGGUGUAGCGGUGAAAUGCGUAGAUAUCACUUGGAACGCCAAUGGUGAAAACAGAUAGCUGGGGUUGUGCUGACACUGAGACACGAAAGCCAGGGGAGCAAACGGG
rnacentral:rRNA from 1 species